AACAAAAAACCAAAAAAAACCCAAAUAAAAUCCAGAAGGGGAAUUCUGAGUAUUUGAUAUAUUGAACAUUCCAGCCAAUGAUAUUCAAAGGUGUUAGGGCUACAUCUGCACAUUUAAAAUUCUGUUGAUUGAACUAAAUGUUUAUAUUUUUUUUCAGAGUUGCCUGAGAGGGUGUAGGGCUGUACUUGAAACUCAUCUAGAAAUGUUCUAAUUAGCUCUAAGCUACCUUGUCCAAUAGCACUGAGUUCAAUGUGGACAGAAGUCUUGCCUUCGAAACAAAUACACAAGGGACCCUUCCUCUCAGCUGAUCUUAGUCCUUAGUCUGAAUCAUAACAGAGCUAUUGUUUUGGUUUGCCUCCCUCAGCAGUCCUUCCUUUGGAUCCCAGCAUUAAGCAUGUUGCAUGAAGCUGUGUUCUGUGUGCACUGGAGGGCCCUUGGUGCCUCUGGGGAUGGGUAGCUAGGGACUUGAAUGUACCUGCAGCAGUGGAGACUGAAAUGGGGAAGGCAGAGGCAGACACAGAUUAAGAAAUUGGGCCCUCCAGGUAGCGAAAGAAGUUAUGAAAUAUGGUGCUAUAAAAAUUCUUCUAGGAGGGGGCCCUCAAAUGAUUGGCAUGUCUCUUUUGUGGUUUAUGACAGUUCUGGUGUGACAGAGAAUGGCAGCCCCAUUUUUCAGUAUUCAAGGCUCUUUAUUGUGUGUCACUAUCUUUGAGUUGGCUGCUCCAGACAGGUACUUUCAUGUCAUUUCCUUAUUCCUGCACUUUGCUCUGCCUUGCUCUUUCUGUAGGGAAAGAGAAGACAGGGUGAGAGAAAUGUGCUGUUGGUGUUUGCCUGCAUGGCACGCUGCAGGAGUCAGAUUCCUCGCAGAACAUUUGUGCCUGUGUGGCACCAGCACCCACAGCAGGGCAGUUGAGUGUGCCAAACAGAGCCUGCAGAAAUCUGGCUGAUCAUGUCUGACACACUCUGAUUCAGGCAAACGUGCAGAUUAUUGGGCUCAGUGCUGCACCAGUGGCACGCUCAGAAAUGUUUGGCAAUGGUCCUGACAGUGUUAGUGUUAAGACUACGGCAUAAAAAGAUACUGAGCUGCAUGGAUUUGCCCCAUAGUCUGUACAUGGCCCUUGGACGACUAGCUGAUCCCCCUAAAUGAAAUCAUACCAUGGUUAGUAUCCUCUGCUCAGUUCCUGUUGUGUAUUCUCUCUGAUGGGUCAAGUUGGACGCAGUUCCAAAUUGUUCUAAGUGGUUUAAGUGCGGUGAUGUGCUGAGUGGCCUGGCUGCAGUCAUGCUGAUGGGCAUUUGUCUUCAGCUCCUCAGCAUAUAGGAGUCUCCAGCCCUAAAGCAAUGGGCAGACUUCCCAAAAGGCAGGGAGGCAAGCUAGAAGAGUGGCUGCUUGCCAUUUCUUUUUGGUCUAUUCAGGUUAAAAAUCAGCUUUGCAUGCGAAGAAAGAGAGGAGGUCUCUGUUGGCUGCUUUUCAAGAGACUUUGACCUUUCUUCUUACUUCUGCAGCAGGGUGUUGUGACUUCUUUUCCCUAUCACACACCUUUGCCCCACCACAGACCUACCCUGUCUCUAAAGCUAACACAAAGAACCUGCUAUAUCUCUCUGCCCUGACCCCAGUAUCUUAACUCACUCUCCCUGUGCUCCCUCAUUUAUUGUUUUCCUCUUGUCUCUUUCCACUUCACCUCCUGUUAGGCAAAAUCUGUGCUGUGUGGAAGAGGCCGAGCGCGGGCUGCGAGAAGUAUUUAGACACCUCUAAGCAUAAGUGUGUAUUUUUGACAAAUAGCCUGGUUAUUCUGGAUGAAGAAAGAGAAACAGCUCUGAUUCUUAUCCACCACCACGGAAGCCCGUGCUGCUGCCACACUUCAGGCAUUGCUCAAUUCUCCCGGUAUCCUGCCUGUGGAGAGCUCUUAGCAGACUCGUGGACCUGCGCUGCCGUUGCUUCACCACCUUCCCUGGCCCUGAGGCUGACUUUUGGAAAAAGAAGGUGGAAAAUAGUAGAAGCAGAGGUCGCAAAGCCAUGUGGUGAAGGGAGAGGCACGCUGGGCGUUAGCGGGAAGGAUGUAAAGCAGAAAUUAAAACCCUUGUGCCUCACCCCACUGCGACUGCUGAGACAAGGCAUGUGUUAGAGAUUAGCAAUCUGCUUACUGGCACCCUUAGGCCCAAACCAGUGGGAACAUUUCUGGAAGCUUGGGUCAGUUUUGGAAGAGAGGUGGCUGGUGCCCUUCUCCCUUGCUAUACUGUAGACUGGUCAUUAUUUUAAUGAUCAGAACAAGGCUUCCAGAAGGUUACCAGAAACCAGAGAAGCUAAAGGCUGCCUUCUGAUUUUCCUUGUCCAGGCUCCUUUUUUUUUUACUUUGCAGUAAAGUGACCAGAAUGAACAGCAGUACAGCUCUGUCUUUUCUUCUCCCCUUAAACUGACCACUUCCCCUCUCAUCCCAGCUGCUACCUACUAACAUAAUUUUCCACUGCCUCUCUUCCCUGGGCUACCUCCACUUCCCAUCUGCUGCCUGCUGUCAUUUUUUCCAUCUCCACCCAGGCCUUGCCUCACUCUCUCCCCUGUCCUAGAAUUGGAACAACAGCUUUUCGAUUUAUGACUAAAAACUAUCAUUUUGAUCAAUGAUCUCCAGGCAAACAGCAUUCUGGAGAGAGGCCUAAAUGAUGGGUAGGUGCCUUACUUCCCACUUCCUCUACUAGAAGAGAAUUUCUCCUACUCCAGCCAUUGCUCACACUGAAGCUGAAUGCAUGCACAUUAGAAAAUAAAUUAAUUAAAAGAAGCCCUCAGAGUUGCAAAGGCAAGGCUGUUGUUUCCUAGUAGGUAAAUUGCAUCUUGACUGUAAUUGCCCCGCUACUCAUGCAAAUUCCUCAGUAGUGGGAAUUAUAUACGUAUAUGAUCAGUAUAAGGAACCACUCUGUUCUUCUGCGUAGAUUUUUGUUGAUGGACCUCUGACACUUGUCCUUCUAGCCUCAGUUCUCAUCCCUCCAGCAUUCUCUCAAGGGACUGGGCUACUGAUUUUAUGUAGAUGAUCUGUGCAUAGAGCAAUCCCACAUGCACAGCCGGAAUACACACAUACAGACACACUCAUACAAGCACAUGCUUGACAAUUUCAAGUCAGCCAGUGGCAGAACUCCAGCUACCCCUGGUAUCUUCUGUUAGUCCCUCUGGGAAUGUCUUUCUGUCAUAGAAUUUAAUUACAUAUGUUUCUGCUAUUUUCUUCCCUUUAAUUUCUGCCUUAUUUUGUGCACAGCACAGGCUGGGCUCAAUUUCUGAGCAGCAACUCAAUAUUUAGUUUUCUCCUUCCUGCUCACUGGGUGGCCACUACCCUUAUUGAUGGGACAACAUUUAAGUCCUUCUCUGUUUCUCUGAUGAGAAAGUGGUUGAUUCCCCCAUGAGAUUUUCUGUGUCCUCGUCAUGUAUGUAUAUCUGUGGCUACACAAGUGCUUUAUGGUGGAACUUGUAUCAGAAGUAUCAGAAUACUUGUUCCUGGCCCCCUGAUGGUGUCCACUUACUGCUUUCAUUCUUGGGAUGGUUUUAGAGUAGAAAAAUAGGCCAGACAAAGCUGUGUAAUUUGCCGUAAAGGGAGGUAGAUAUUUUGUUUUUCUGCUAGUGCAUGUUCUGUUUUGUUAAGAAGGCUGUAGGUUAACAGCCAGGUGUUUUAUUCUGCCUGCUUCAGUUCUGAAGAAAGGGGGAAACUACCCCUUUUCAGAAGCCUCUUGAAAAGGGAGGAGGGAUUUUACAGAGGACAGUGUAGGGCAUCAUGUUCUACCUGACACAUACCCCCAAAAUUGGAGCAGAGCUUUUGGGAAACUCCCGAGCGUGGCACUGGGCCAUGACAUCCCCACUUGGCAUCUCUUGGGAGCUGGCAGGAAUGAUUCAGGACUUGGAGCUGAGCACUGAAAACUGCUGGACUGGGUAAGUUUUGGGAGCUCCUUAGGAUGUGAAUACAUAACAGCUGGGAAGAUGAGGUGGGGAAGGAGUGGUGAGGACUGUUGGGGCUUUUUUCUGUUCUCUUUGUUUGCAGUUGUCUGAACUCACAUCUGUGCAGAUCCUAACCCUUUGGCAUGCUUGGGCUGCUCACAUUAAGGAAAAUGUGUGAGAAGACCACCUCAGGGUGCUGGCCAGCUUCAGAUGCAGUUGCGACUGCAACCAGUUUGGCAGCAGCUGGAUUUCUUUGGCCACAUCUUCCUGUGUUGGACACUGUUAAAUCCUAAUGGCAGUCCUGGAUCUGGGGCUCGGUAGGAAACUUCUGGCUCUUGCUGACUACUGUGCUGACUCCUGAGUAUUUUGAGAAGGCAGGCUCUUCAUGGUGCUGGCAUUUUCCCCUGAGAAGAAAGGGAACACAUUUGGUUCCUGUAGGGCUGCAAUAGCAACCACUGCCUGUAAGGAAGACUUGAGACAUAGUAUGGUAUUGGACUUGGGUGACUAAGAAGGAUAAUGCUUGCUGGGCUGAGGGUGACAAAGAAUAAUCCUACUUUUCCUGCAGAUUGCUAGUCAGCAAAGUGUUAAAGGCAUUGCUGGUUGGAUGGGACUGAGGCUAGAACAGUAUUUAGCAUAAGCCCCUAGCAGGCUGUGGAGAAGGUCUUUGAGAGAACAAUGGAUGGUUGUGUGGGCUUAGGUGUGAGGAUGACUGAAACUAGUGAGGAGGAUGCCAGGUGCUAAUUGAAGAGAAUAAGUGUUUUCCCAUCUAUAAUGUUUUACUGAGGUUCUCCUUUCCAUCACCUUAGGAGAAUGUUCUGUGUUUUAUUGGCCAGCAGGGGUUUCCAAACUAAGACGUUGUUGGAGGUAUGUGACCUGAUCCAAGUUUUCCAGAGUAGCUUCCUGGAAAGAAUUUUAAGAACGAGAAC